ensembl:snoRNA LOC120101282 small nucleolar RNA SNORA17
CCUGCCCCUAGAGGCCUUGCAGGUGUGGCUGCUGUGUCACACGUGCAGCAGUAGGUGGCAGAGAGGAGAGAGGCUACGUCUACGCUCCGUGUUCUGACCUACGAAUAUCUGAAUUAUCAGUAGCUUAACAUA